GAAAAAUCUGGAAGUUGCGUGCGACCUCUGUACCUUCUGCCAUUCUCGACCUCUGAUCUUCUUCUUCUUCGUUCCUUGUCACCGCCGACGAGGCAGACGAGUUGCCGUGAGGUCGCUGUCGCUGUGCGAUGCCCAGGUUCUUGCUCGUUCUUCUCUGUCUCUGUUUGUCUUCUCCACUGUUGCUCUAUUUUCGCUGUUCUCAUGCGCGUCGUUGGUGUGCGUGAGAGUCAGGUUGCCAGCGCUGCAAACGUGGGCUAUGAUCGUCCACUGUUAGCAGUUCUAGUCAUGAAUCCAUAGUUCUUCACUCUGCCGUCGAUCUCUGUGCUUCUCUUCACUGUUUAUGCUGUUGAAGUUUCUUCUUCUUCCUUCAUCCUUCCCAUUCGGGGUUUGGAAGAAGAAGAUUUUGAUAGGAACUAAAAGGGAGAAAAUCUUUGAAAAUUUGGGAAUACCACAGAUAGUGUAGCUGACGCUGAAACAUCUACUGAACAUUGAGGAGUUUGUGAUUGAUUAGAAGCGGAGGAGCUAAGGGUUAAACUUUCUCUUGACGUAAAGUUUUAAUUAUGAAAUUUUAUUUUGUAAACUUAUUGUUAGGUGCUCCACAUAGUCUGUGGUCAGGUUGUUUAUGUGGUUAUAUAUUUUGUCUAUUGGCUGGAAGGAGCUCUACUCCUGAUUGGCUUGAUAUUUUUGGUUGAAAUAUUGUUUUGUAGAAUUUUCGAGAGAUCUUAUUUACAGAGGAGAUUCUGUCGAAAUUUCUACAAAAAUAUUGAGACUUUUAUUAC